GAUGAACGCUGGCGGCGUGCCUAAUACAUGCAAGUCGAGCGAACGGACGAGAAGCUUGCUUCUCUGAUGUUAGCGGCGGACGGGUGAGUAACACGUGGAUAACCUACCUAUAAGACUGGGAUAACUUCGGGAAACCGGAGCUAAUACCGGAUGAUAUUUUGAACCGCAUGGUUCAAAAGUGAAAGACGGUCUUGCUGUCACUUAUAGCUGGAUCCGCGCUGCAUUAGCUAGUUGGUAAGGUAACGGCUUACCAAGGCAACGACGCAUAGCCGACCUGAGGGGGUGAUCGGCCACACUGGAACUGAGACACGGUCCAGACUCCUACGGGAGGCAGCAGUAGGGAAUCUUCCGCAAUGGGCGAAAGCCUGACGGAGCAACGCCGCGUGAGUGAUGAAGGUCUUCGGAUCGUAAAACUCUGUUAUUAGGGAAGAACAUAUGUGUAAGUAACUGUGCACAUCUUGACGGUACCUAAUCAGAAAGCCACGGCUAACUACGUG
rnacentral:rRNA from 1 species